rnacentral:rRNA from 1 species
AAAGGCCAAUCAAACUCCGUGAUAGCUGGUUCUCCCCGAAAUGCAUUUAGGUGCAGCGUCGUAUUAUAGCUUGGUGGAGGUAGAGCGACUGGUUGGUUGAGCGGGACUACAAUCUUAGCAAUGUCAGCCAAACUCCGAAUGCCAUCAAUUGUGUUGUGCGGCAGUGAGACUGUGGGGGAUAAGCUUCAUAGUCGAGAGGGAAACAGCCCAGAUCGCCGGUUAAGGCCCCUAAGGGUGUACUAAGUGGAAAAGGAUGUGGGAUCGCGAAGACAGCCAGGAGGUUGGCUUAGAAGCAGCCAUCCUUGAAAGAGUGCGUAAUAGCUCACUGGUCGAGUGGUUCUGCGCCGACAAUGUAGUGGGGCUCAAGUACACCGCCGAAGCCGCGGCAAGCAACAUUUUUUGUUGUUUGGGUAGGGGAGCGUCGUGCAUGGGUNGAAGCGUUACCGUNAGGAGGCGUGGACUGUGUGCGAGUGAGAAUGCAGGCAUGAGUAACGAAUUGNNAGGUGAGAAUCCUNNCCGCCGGAUGACUAAGGGUUCCUGGGUCAAGUUCGUCUUCCCAGGGUGAGUCGGGACCUAAGGCGAGGCCGACAGGCGUAGUCGAUGGAUAACCAGUUGAUAUUCUGGUACCCGUACAUGNGCGCCCAUGAUAAAGCACUGAUACUAACCACNGCGGAUNCNCUNCNAAGNANUCUUUGAGUGUUGGUGGUGUUGAUGUCGUGGGGCCUGAUGUGUGGUUCAAGUGAUGGGGUGACGCAGUGAGGUAGCCGCGCCACUUAGUGGAUUGGUGGUGUAAGCGUGUAGGCCGUGUGGUAGGUAAAUCCGCCACACAUUGUGGUUGAGNCGUGAUGCGUAGACCCANNNGGGUUGAUGGUGGUGAUCCUGUACUGUCGAGAAAAGCCUCUAGCGAUGUGUGUGUAUGGCCCGUACCCUAAACCGACACAGGUAGUCAGGUUGAAAAUACUAAGGCGUUCGGGUGAACUGUGGUUAAGGAAUUCGGCAAAAUGCCCCCGUAACUUCGGGAGAAGGGGGGCCCUGUGACGUGAAGACCCUUGCGGUUGGAGUGUUGUGGGGUCGCAGAGAAUAGAGGGAAGCGACUGUUUAUCAAAAACACAGGUCCAUGCGAAGACGUNAAGUUGAUGUAUAUGGACUGACGCCUGCCCGGUGCUGGAAGGUUAAGAGGACCGGUUAGUUAGUCUUUGACUGCGAAGCUGAGAAUUUAAGCCCCAGUAAACGGCGGUGGUAACUAUAACCAUCCUAAGGUAGCGAAAUUCCUUGUCGGGUAAGUUCCGACCUGCACGAAUGGCGUAACGACUUCUCUGCUGUCUCGACCACAGGCCCGGUGAAAUUGCAUUACGAGUAAAGAUGCUCGUUACGCGCGGCAGGACGAAAAGACCCCGGGACCUUCACUAUAGCUUGGUAUUGGUGUUUGGUUCGGUUUGUGUAGGAUAGGUGGGAGACUUGGAAGCUAUCACGCUAGUGGUGGUGGAGUCGUUGUUGAAAUACCACUCUGAUCGGAUUGAGCAUCUAACCUUGGCCCAUGAUCUGGGUUGGGGACAGUGCCUGGUGGGUAGUUUAACUGGGGCGGUUGCCUCCUAAAAUGUAACGGAGGCGCCCAAAGGUUCCCUCAGCCUGGUUGGCAAUCAGGUGUNGAGUGCAAGUGCACAAGGGAGCUUGACUGUGAGAGUGGCAGCUCGAGCAGGGACGAAAGUCGGGACUAGUGAUCNGNCGGCUNGCUUGUGGANNNGCCGUCNCUCAACGGAUAAAAGGUACCNCGGGGAUAACAGGCUGAUCUUGCCCNAGCGCUCAUAGCGACGGCAUGGUUUGGCACCUCGAUGUCGGCUCGUCGCAUCCUGGGGCUGUAGUCGGUCCCAAGGGUUGGGCUGUUCGCCCAUUAAAGCGGUACGCGAGCUGGGUUCAGAACGUCGUGAGACAGUUCGGUCCCUAUCCUCUGCGCGCGUUGGAAAUUUGAGAAGGUCUGUCCUUAGUACGAGAGGACCGGGACGGACGAACCUCUGGUAUGUCAGUUGUACCGCCAGGUGCAUGGCUGAUUAGCUACGUUCGGGAUGGAUAACCGCUGAAAGCAUCUAAGCGGGAAGCCGGCCCAAAGAUGAGUCAUCCCUGAACUUUAAGUUCUGGAAGGGUUGUUAUAGACGAUGACGUUGAUAGGCAGGGUGUGGAAGCGUUGUAAGGCGUUAAGCUAACCUGUACUAAUUGCCCGAGAGGCUUAACCAU